AGUUAGUUGGUGGGGUAACGGCUCACCAAGACAACGAUACAUAGGGGGACUGAGAGGUUAACCCCCCACAUUGGUACUGAGACACGGACCAAACUCCUACGGGAGGCAGCAGUGAGGAAUAUUGGUCAAUGGACGCAAGUCUGAACCAGCCAUGCCGCGUGCAGGAAGACGGCUCUAUGAGUUGUAAACUGCUUUUGUACGAGGGUAAACGCAGAUACGUGUAUCUGUCUGAAAGUAUCGUACGAAUAAGGAUCGGCUAACUCCGUGCCAGCAGCCGCGGUAAUACGGAGGAUUCAAGCGUUAUCCGGAUUUAUUGGGUUUAAAGGGUGCGUAGGCGGUCGGAUAAGUUAGAGGUGAAAUCCCGGGGCUCAACUUCGGAAUUGCCUCUGAUACUGUUCGGCUAGAGAGUAGUUGCGGUAGGCGGAAUGUAUGGUGUAGCGGUGAAAUGCUUAGAGAUCAUACAGAACACCGAUUGCGAAGGCAGCUUACCAAGCUACUUCUGACGUUGAGGCACGAAAGCGUGGGGAGCAAACAGGAUUAGAUACCCUGGUAGUCCACGCAGUAAACGAUGAUAACUCGUUGUCGGCGAUACAGUGUCG
rnacentral:rRNA from 1 species